rnacentral:lncRNA from 1 species
GACGACCUGGCCGCCGUUGGUUUCCAUUCGGACGGCUCAGAUUAGAAGGCGCAUAACGCUUCGGUCGGAUUCACGUUGGCCGUUGAUAUCCGAUCGGAUGGAUCGGGUGGCUCUGGGAAAAAUUAGAUCUGCGCCGUGGGAUCGUGAUCCUGUGGACGACAUUGCGUACCGAUUCACGCCGUCACGGAUCUAAUCUGGGCGCCUCGUUUCAAAUCGGACGGCCGAUAUCGCUGCUUACCCUUUCAGCCAUGUAACUUUGCAGAAGAGCCCCUCUGGAAUUAUAGAUUAGAACCCGCCAUCCACUGCAUAGCAGUCUGAGUCUUGAGAAUUAUUGCGCAGAGGCCCCUGCAUUUUAUGGUUUUUGUGCGUGCAGCCAGACACUUAAUAAAUCAGGGAAAAUUAAUAUAGAAAAUGAUUUUUAGUGUUAAAAUAAUUCCAGAAACCUUAGUUAAUUCAUAGAAAAUCCAUUCUAGCUCCAAAUUAAUUGAUUCUAGUUCCUAUAAUUUUGUAAUAUUAUUAUUUAUCAAUUAGUGCCACUAUUUUGACAUGAAAGCCACAUUAAAAUUUAUAUCCUAAUUAAUCUUGUACAAAACACAUAGAAUCUUUGGAAAUCCAUAACUUAAAAUCUAUAACUCCAAAAUUAAUAAUUCUUGUUCCUGUGAUCUUAUUUUAAUAUGUGGAUUAUUAAUAUAUAUUUGUACUUAUGUUUGGUGUAAUGUUAAUUUUUCCUAUACAAUGUUUGUUUGUAUUACUACGACUAGAGCAAGGUCACGUGUCAUCUGAAGAGCAAGUUGGUACCUGGAAUCUCAAGUCCCAGGCAAGUUGUAACCUUGAUCACUUCUUUUUACCCACUCAUGUUCUAAUUAAUCAUAAUGAUCUGUAUAGGUUAAUUUUGAUGGGACGCAAUAGGUUACCCUAGUUUGUCUAUCUUUAUACCUUGUUUACCACUGAACUUUUUGGGUAGUACUUGCUAGUGCUUUAUGUGGUUUUGGGUAUGAAGAUACAUUAUUCAUGAUCACACUUUUAUUAUAU